GACCUCUCGGGGUUACAGCCUUGCUGAAUUAUUCACCCUUGUCUUUUGCGUACUUCUUGUUUCCUUGGUGGGUUCGCCCACCACUAGGACAAACAUAAACCUUUUGUAAUUGCAAUCAGCGUCAGUAACAAAUUAAUAAUUACAACUUUCAACAACGGAUCUCUUGGUUCUGGCAUCGAUGAAGAACGCAGCGAAAUGCGAUAAGUAGUGUGAAUUGCAGAAUUCAGUGAAUCAUCGAAUCUUUGAACGCACAUUGCGCCCUUUGGUAUUCCAAAGGGCAUGCCUGUUCGAGCGUCAUUUGUACCCUCAAGCUUUGCUUGGUGUUGGGCGUCUUGUCUCUAGCUUUGCUGGAGACUCGCCUUAAAGUAAUUGGCAGCCGGCCUACUGGUUUCGGAGCGCAGCACAAGUCGCACUCUCUAUCAGCAAAGGUCUAGCAUCCAUUAAGCCUUUUUUUCAACUUUUGACCUCGGAUCAGGUAGGGAUACCCGCUGAACUUAAGCAUAUCAA
rnacentral:rRNA from 1 species